GACGUCGUGUCCGAGCGGGUAAUGGAACAUGCUCACGCGCAGUACGCGUGAGUUCGAUUCCCACUGAGGUCA